CCACCUACGGGAGGCUGCAGUAAGGAAUAUUGCGCAAUGGGCGAAAGCCUGACGCAGCGACGCCGCGUGGGGGAUGAAGGUCUUCGGAUUGUAAACCCCUUUCGGGAGGGAAGAUGGAAUAGGGUAACCUAUUCGGACGGUACCUCCAGAAGCAGCCACGGCUAACUUCGUGCCAGCAGCCGCGGUAAUACGAAGGUGGCAAGCGUUGUUCGGAUUCACUGGGCGUACAGGGAGCGUAGGCGGUUGGGUAAGCCCUCCGUGAAAUCUCCGGGCCUAACCCGGAAAGUGCAGAGGGGACUGCUCAGCUUGAGGACGGGAGAGGAGCGCGGAAUUCCCGGUGUAGCGGUGAAAUGCGUAGAGAUCGGGAGGAAGGCCGGUGGCGAAGGCGGCGCUCUGGAACGUUUCUGACGCUGAGGCUCGAAAGCGUGGGGAGCAAACAGGAUUAGAUACCCGGGUAGUCCUU
rnacentral:rRNA from 1 species